rnacentral:rRNA from 1 species
GACGAACGCUGGCGGCGUGCUUAACACAUGCAAGUCAAACGGAAAGGCCCUGCUUUUGUGGGGUGCUCGAGUGGCGAACGGGUGAGUAACACGUGAGUAACCUGCCCUUGACUUUGGGAUAACUUCAGGAAACUGGGGCUAAUACCGGAUAGGAGCUCCUGCUGCAUGGUGGGGGUUGGAAAGUUUCGGCGGUUGGGGAUGGACUCGCGGCUUAUCAGCUUGUUGGUGGGGUAGUGGCUUACCAAGGCUUUGACGGGUAGCCGGCCUGAGAGGGUGACCGGACACAUUGGGACUGAGAUACGGCGCAGACUCCUACGGGAGGCAGCAGUGGGGAAUAUUGCACAAUGGGCGGAAGCCUGAUGCAGCACCGCCGCGUGCGGGAUGACGGCCUUCGGGUUGUAAACCGCUUUCGCCUGUGACGAAGCGUGAGUGACGGUAAUGGGUAAAGAAGCACCGGCUAACUACGUG